GUUAAGUAGCCCCCCACUAUAGUUGGCCAUGCUGCCAUAUGCAGUUUGCUGGAGGGACAGAGAAGGUUCUCUCAUCAGGGGGAGUCGACGUCGCAACCUUGCAGUCCACAGCGAGCCGCACUGCAUUCAUGUAGUUUGCGUGUACCAUGAAGUCCACUGUUAGCUCUCGUUUGUUACAAAAAUUUGGUGGUUCACUUCUGUUUAUGGAAAACACGAGGAGUAUACUUUCUUUUUGGAUGUGGUUCACUUGUACUAUGCGUUGGUUGAUUUUCAUGUUUUAAAAGUUUUGCACUUCCCAUGUUCAGUUUCCGAGAAGUUCUAAAUUGUUGCUGAUUUGGAAUGGGCAUAUGCAGUUCGGCAGAUGGUCAAGCAGUGCACCAUGGUCCACGGGCAUGGGAAGUGCGGCGUGUGGGUGCAUGCAGAGAAGGAGCAACAGCCAUGGAGUACUCCAGGAGCAGAUCAUGCCCAAAGGGACCACACCCAGGAGAUGGUCGUGGAUCAAACUGCUGCGCCCCGGGGCUGGUGCUUGUGAUGAGCGACGAGGAGAAGCAGGGACCUGGGAGCGCAUGGAUGAUGGAUGCGCGAAGGAUGAGCGCCUUGGACCUAGAUGAUGGAUUCGCCUGGGGCCUGGGAGCGACGGAGGAUGGACGCCUGGGAGUGCCGAGGAGAAGCGAUUUGAAAUCCUAGGAGCAAAGGGGGAAGACGACGAUGGGGAUAGCGAUUCAAAACAGGGGUAGCGUUGUAAAUUCCUUCAUUUCAAAACAGGGCCUCGAAAUGUUCUCUUCAACGCCAUAUAUUUCAAAACGGUGGGAGCAGUUUCAUGCCUAUAUUGAGCACCAUUGUGUCUCGCUCCCAUCACAAUUGAAUAUUUCUCCAUUGUAUUGUUAUCGUAUAUGAAUACGCAUGAUAAACCUGGAUUACUAUC